GAUGAACGUUGGCGGUGUGCCUAAUACAUGCAAGUCGAACGGAGAUCGUAGCAAUACUGUCUCAGUGGCGAACGGGUGAGUAACGCGUUGGUGACCUGCCCCGAAGUGUGGAAUAACAGUUCGAAAGAGCUGCUAAUACCGCAUAAUAUCACAAAGAUUAGAACCUUUUUGAUUAAAGGAUUUAUUCGCUUCGGGAGGGGCCUACGUCCCAUCAGCUAGUUGGUAAGGUAAUGGCUUACCAAGGCUAUGACGGGUAGGGGACCUGAGAGGGUGGCCCCCCCCAAUGGAACUGAAACACGGUCCAUACACCUACGGGUGGCAGCAGUAGGGAAUAUUAGUAAUGGGCGAAAGCCUGAACUAGCAACACCGCGUGUGCGAAGAAGGCCUUCGGGUUGUAAAGCACUUUUUGAGAGGAUGAGGAAGGACGGUACUCUCAGAAUAAGUCUCGGCUAACUACGUGCCAGCCGCCGCAGUAA
rnacentral:rRNA from 1 species